ACUUUUUCGUUCCCCCCUUCCCCCGAAAUCCCAAAAUUUGACAAGAAAUCUUUCUUUUUUUCCCUCCUUUCUUUUCCCAAAAUCGGUUCCCUCCCCCAUCCCUAAAGAAAUCCUAAAAUUUCACUUGAAAUUUCUUCUCUUUUUUUCCCCAUUUUAUUUUUCCCAAACCAUUUCUCCCCUACCCCGAUUCCCUUUAUUUUUUCCCCCAAUUUCCUCAAAUCGGUAGCCCUCUGCAUCUCUGUCGGUAGCCCGCUGCUGUAUCUCUGUCGGUAGCCCGCUGUUGUAUCUCUGUUGACAUCUGCUAUCGUCCUUGGUUUUGGAUAAUGAGAAAAGUGAACUGGUGGUGAAGUCACCGGUGAAGGUUGGGAAGAAUAGCGUGGCAGAAGAGAAAGUUAUAGCGGCUUUAAAGAGUCAUAGCGAAGCUGAGAGGAGGAGGAGAGAAAGGAUUAAUGCUCACCUGGACACCCUCCGUAAUCUCUUGCCAUAUAGAGAAAAGAGAAAGAGAAAUGGCUGGAAGUAAUGAAAUCAACCUCAACAAGUGCAAGCUAUUGGUUUCAAUGAGAUGAGGCUAACAUAUCCAUCCCCAGUGUAUAAAGGUAUCUUUGUCACGGUCCUCGCAGGUUCAAGAAAGGUUUCAGGAAAGGUAGGAAAAUGCUAAUGUCCUUAGGCUCAUUGCUUUUUGAUUUUAGUUCCAUUGCGUAUUUCUGUUCUUGUAAUAAAUUUUGUCUUUUUUUUCUUUCAAAAUGUUCUUAUUUUUGAUUGGGGGUGAUGUAUAAGUACUGAAGCAGCACCAAGAAAGAAGGUUGCAGCAGUUUCUACUUAAAAGGCAAAUUGUAAUGGUAUGAGGUUUUAUUUUGGAUGAAGCCAUGUUUACGAGGAAACAUUUAGUGAUGAAGAGUGAAAUUAUGUUCUAUUGGAUGCUUUAGUUGUUAUUUAGUUUCUAUUUGAAUGUAGCUGUCUUAUAUUUUGAACAAUUAUUGGAGCUAAUGUUUGACCCUUAAUUUCUUCAUUGUCUUUUUUUUUUAAUUCGAUUAAUGUUAUUGUUUCGUUAAUUUAAA